UAGCCUAUGAAGAUAUAGAAUUAUAAAGAACACCAUCUUUCGGGACUGAAUGGCGUAAUGCCUUGGUGACACAUUCUGCAAUUCUGAGGCUU